rnacentral:rRNA from 1 species
AUGGCGUCCUUUGCAAAGAUCGGCAUGGAGUGCCUACAAGAUCCCCUGAUCUGGCUAUUUCUUGCAAUCGCGUCCGUGGCCUUGGUCAUCCAGCCAGUGCCAAGACGGCGGCCCCUCCCUCCAGCUCCAGGCCCGAAGCCGCUGCCGGUCAUCGGCAACAUGAUGAUGGCGGACCAGUUGACUCACCGUGGCCUGGCGGCGCUGGCAAAGCAGUACGGCGGGUUGCUGCACCUCCGCAUGGGCUGGCUCCGGAUCUUCGUGGUGUCGACCCCUGAGUACGCGCGCGAGGUGCUCCACGCGCAGGACAACGAUGACUUCUGGGACCGCCCUGCCUCCAUCGCCAUCCUCUACCUCACCUACGGCUGCUCCGACAUGGCGUUCGCGCACGACGCGCGCUACUGGCGGCAGAUGCGCAAGCUGUGCGUCACGAAGCUCUUCAGCCGCCGGCGCGCCGAGACCUGGCUGGCCGUGCACGACGGGUAUGGGGAGCUCGUCCGGGACAUCGGCAGGUCCAGCGGGGAGGUCGUGAACCUCGGCGAGGUCAUCUUCAAGCACACCGUGAGGGUCAUCUGCCGGGCCGCCUUCAGCGUCCGCGACGUCCAAGGACUGGAGGAGCUCAUCCCCAUGUUGAGGGAGUUCUCCAAGCUCUUGGAAGCGUUCCACAUCGGUGACUUGUUCCCUUGGCUUAGCUGGAUGGGCCGGCGGGGCUUCGACAGCCGCCUCGGCGCUGUGCGCGGCGUUCUCGGCAAGUUUGCAGACAAGAUCAUUGACGAUCACAUGAGGAGGGGCAAGAAUCCCACCGAAGCCGACGCUGACAUGGUAGACGACCUACUCGCGUUCCUCGGUGAUGCCGGCCAAGCCAGCGCCAAGGACCUGCGCCUCACCCGCGACAACGUCAAGGCCUUGAUCAUGGACAUGUUGUUUGGCGGGCCGGAUAAUGUCGGCUUCACCAUUGAGUGGGCAAUGGCAGAGAUGAUUCAUUGCCCUAACAUCCUUCUGCAGCUGCAUCGGGAGCUCGCAAACAUUGUGGGGUUUGAGCGGAUGGUCUACGAAUCAGAUCUUGCCAAGCUCCCCUUCCUUAAGUGUGUCGUCAAGGAGACGCUUCGGAUGCACCCGCCGAUCCCGGUUAUCCUCCGCGGGACCACCAAAGAUUGUUUUCUUGGUGGAUACUCGGUGCCCAGGGGCUCUCGCGUAUUCAUCAACACGUGGGCAAUCAACCGGGACGGUGAGGCAUGGAAGGACCCUGACACUUUCCGGCCAUCAAGGUUCAUGCUCAACGGGGACGCCAUCGGGCUAGAUCUCAAGGGCGGUUGCUAUGAGUUCUUGUCAUUUGGUUCUGGAACACGCUCAUGCCCGGGGCAAGGGCUCGGCCAGCAUGCGGUGGAGUUUGCCAUAGCUCAGCUCGUGCACGGGUUUAACUGGAAGCUACCCGAUGACAUGAAUCCAAUGGAGCUCGACAUGAGCGACACGAUCGGUUCGACCGUGUCGCGCGCCACACGGCUCUGCGCGGUGCCCACACCCCGCCUUAGAUGUCCUUUGUAA